rnacentral:rRNA from 1 species
UCCUGACCGUGCAAAGGUAGCAUAAUCAUUUGCCUAUUAAUUGUAGGCUAGAAUGAAAGGACAAACGAGAAUACACCUGUCUCCUUUAAGACACUAAAAAUUUAUCUUUAAGUGAAGAAGCUUAAAUAAACGUGCAGGACAAGAAGACCCUAUAGAGCUUUACCUAUAAGCCACAUAAACAGUGGUUAGCGGUUCGGUUGGGGCGACCAGGGGAUACUAACCACCCCUAAAUUAUAAGAUCAACUAAUCCUAUCAUAGAUCCUUUAUCAAGAUCAAAGAAUCAAGCUACCUUAGGGAUAACAGGCUAAUCCUCUUAGAGAGCCCUUAUCGACAAGAGGGGUUGGCACCUCGAUGUUGGCUUAGGACGUCUCC